rnacentral:rRNA from 1 species
GCGCACGCUGGCGGCAGGCCUCACCCCUGCCAGUCGCACGAACUCUUCGGAGUUAGUGGCGGACGGGUGAGUAACACGUGGGAACGUGCCUUUUGGUUCGGAAUAACUCAGGGAAACUUGUGCUAAUACCGAAUGUGCCCUUCGGGGGAAAGAUUUAUCGCCAUUAGAGCGGCCCGCGUCUGAUUAGCUAGUUGGUGAGGUAACGGCUCACCAAGGCGACGAUCAGUAGCUGGUCUGAGAGGAUGACCAGCCACACUGGGACUGAGACACGGCCCAGACUCCUACGGGAGGCAGCAGUGGGGAAUCUUGCGCAAUGGGCGAAAGCCUGACGCAGCCAUGCCGCGUGAAUGAUGAAGGUCUUAGGAUUGUAAAAUUCUUUCACCGGGGACGAUAAUGACGGUACCCGGAGAAGAAGCCCCGGCUAACUUCGUG